rnacentral:rRNA from 1 species
UACGUAGGGCGCAAGCGUUAUCCGGAAUUAUUGGGCGUAAAGAGCUCGUAGGCGGUUUGUCGCGUCUGCCGUGAAAGUCCGGGGCUCAACUCCGGAUCUGCGGUCGAUACGGGCAGACUAGAGUUCGGUAGGGGAGACUGGAAUUCCUGGUGUAGCGGUGAAAUGCGCAGAUAUCAGGAGGAACACCGGUGGCGAAGGCGGGUCUCUGGGCCGAUACUGACGCUGAGGAGCGAAAGCGUGGGGAGCGAACAGG